CCUACGGGAGACAGCAGUAGGGAAUCUUCCACAAUGGGCGCAAGCCUGAUGGAGCAACACCGCGUGAGUGAAGAAGGGUUUCGGCUCGGAAAGCUCUGUUGUUGGAGAAGAACGUGCGUGAGAGUAACUGUUCACGCAGUGACGGUAUCCAACCAGAAAGUCACGGCUAACUACGUGACAGCAGCCGCGGUAAUACGUAGGUGGCAAGCAUUAUCCGGAUUUAUUGGGCGUAAAGCGAGCGCAGGCGGUUGCUUAGGUCUGAUGUGAAAGCCUUCGGCUUAACCGAAGAAGUGCAUCGGAAACCGGGCGACUUGAGUGCAGAAGAGGACAGUGGAACUCCAUGUGUAGCGGUGGAAUGCGUAGAUAUAUGGAAGAACACAAGUGGCGAAGGCGGCUGUCUGGUCUGCAACUGACGCUGAGGCUCGAAAGCAUGGGUAGCGAACAGGAUUAGAUACCCGAGUAGUC
rnacentral:rRNA from 1 species